rnacentral:rRNA from 1 species
UUGCCUUGUACACACCGCUCGUCACGCAAGAUUAUAUAU